UUUGGUGGCGAUAGCGAAGAGGUCACACCCGUUCCCAUACCGAACACGGAAGUUAAGCUCUUCAGCGCCGAUGGUAGUUGGGGGUUUCCCCCUGUGAGAGUAGGACAUCGCCAGGC
rnacentral:rRNA from 2 species